rnacentral:tRNA from 1 species
GAGAGAGUAUAAUGUACGAACUGCUAAUUCUACACUCCGUAUAUAAAAAUAUGGUUCUCUCA